rnacentral:lncRNA from 1 species
GGCGCGGACCCUGGGCCCCGACCCCGCGGUCGCCGGGGCUCCCCUUCCUCUGUCCCAGUGCGCCCAGCCCCGCGCUCCGCACCCGGGCACCCCCGCGGGGUUCUCCUGAGUUCCUGGAGCUCCCGGGGCUGGCGCUCACGCCGUGAGAGGGAAAAGAGAGGUUAAAACCAAGACAUGGACAAAGCCUCCGAAUGAAGGCAGCCCUUUAAAUGGAAUAAAUUUGGUUUCAUGGCACAUUAAUGGGGUGUCUUCUCUCCGAAGACACAGAGACAACUACAGUAGGUCUGGGGGCCGUCAGGGAUUGGAGGAACGAAGGUAAGAAAAGGAAGAAGGUAAGAAAAAGAGGUCCCUACCUCUGUGAGGUAGGGACAGUGCUGAACAGCAGGGCUGGGAGAGCCCACAGGGAGGUGGCCAGGAUGGCCACAGGGCCUGGGGAGGACCAGGUGGGGCACCAUCCUGCGGUAGAGAAUGCCCGUCACCUGCCCUAGGGGCCACCCAGAAUGCAGAUUAAAUAAGUAUUUGGGAAUGGCACAGGAGCUUUUCCAUUUUCGUGGGUUAGAGGAAAGCUGCUGCGUUCAAGAGGAUAACGUGGGACCUGAGCAUUCUGGUAAGUCAACCCCACAUUCAUGGAAAGCCACGGGCUCUGUUUUACUGAUAAGGAACUGAAGUCCCACAGAGGAAGUGGCCAGGCUCACUCACACACAGCAUGCACUUGAAGCUUUCUGUGGAAAUCAGAAACCUCCGGGGCUCAGGCGCUGUAGUGGUGGCCUGGUGACUCUGACCCCUUGAAGGAGAAGCAUCUGUGAAGGUGCUGUCCAGGACAAGUAGGGUGCUCUACGGUAAAGGACAUGGUGGCCUGACCUGCUCCAGAGCAGGGAGGCCUCCCUUGAGGAAAUAAGAUAAACCCAGACUUUAAGGAUAAGCAGAAACCAGCUAGGUGAACUGGAGUGGGAACAGCACGUGAAAAGGCCCUGGUUUAGGAAGGAGCACCACUCCUUCAGAGCACAGAAAGGCCAGGAUGGCCGAAGCAUAGGGAACAACAGGAAAGUGACAUAAAUUGAGGCUGCAGAGGUAGAAGAAGGGCCUUAUUGGUCGUGCUAGGAAUUUGGAAUUCUGCAAAGAAGCCUGGGAAACAGAUUUUGGUGACACUCGCCUUCUCUUUAAUGUGCAGUUUCAGUUCUGUUGGUGUGAUUCUGCAUUGGAGAUGGCGUGCUGUAACGAAUGGCCAGGAGCUUAAGAGUCAUGCAGACUUGGGAGGCCUGGCCUUGCCACGCCCAGCUGCAUGGCCAUCCUCCUCCUGUUUCUGGCCGUUCUGUUUCUAAACCUUGGGGUUCUGAUAUUCCUACAUGUAAACUAGGGGCUGUAAUAGGAAUCUCACAGUCAAAGUGGAGGAAGGAGGAGCUUGAGAUUGAAAAAUCAGUUUGAGAAGCAGCCACCUUGACUGGCUUCACUCUAAUAGCCUGGACGCUGCCUCCACACUCCAGGUGCACUGCUCAGCAUUCUCCAAGAAGAUCAUUAAGGCAGACCCUACGUGUUAAAUUUCAAUCAGUUUCAUUGAGCAAAUAUGCUGUUAAAUAGAGACUGCUGUGUGCUGCGUCAGUGUGCCUUAUGGGCAAAUGUGAUGGUGACUAUAAAUGCAGACCAAGCAGUCCUUCCCACACUGUGUACACAAAGAAAGGAGCUCUGGAACUGGGAGCCAGGACAUCUGCAGGAGGAGAAUUCUGAAGUGAAAGGAGGCCUGGAUAUUGGUUGCAAGGCCUUGUCCCUGGAGCCUGGAUGCUCUCAUACCUUCUACAUCUGGGCCUCUGGGUCCAGGACAGUGCCAGGGAGAGUUCAUAGAAACAAAUGUGUUGAAGACCUUAGCGGUUGUCUGACUCUGAGACAGUUACCUGGCCACUCUUAAGUUUCCUCAUUUUUUUUUUAAUUUUACUUUAAGUUGCGGGAUACAUGUGCAGAACGUGCAGGUUUGUUACAUAGGUAUGCAUGUGCCAUGGUGGUUUGCUGCACCUGUCAACCUUUCAUCUAGGUUUUAAGCCCCUCAUGCAUUAGAUAUUUGUCCUAAUGCUCUCCUUCCCCUUGGCCCCCUGUCAGGUCCUGGUGUGUGUGUUGUCUGGCCCCCACCGUGUCCAUGUGUUCCUAUUGUUCAUCUCCCAUUUAUGAGUGAGAAUAUGUGGUGUUUGGCUUUCUCUUCCUGUGUUAGUUUGCUGAGGAUGAUGGUUUCCAGCUUCAUCCAUGUCCCUGCAGAGGACAUGAUCUCAUCCUUUUCAUGGCUGCAUAGUAUUCCGUGUUGUGUAUAUACCACAUUUUCUUUAUCCAGUCUUUCAUUGGUGGACAUUUGGGUUGGUUUCAUGUCUUUGCUAUUGUAAAUAGUGCUGCAAUAAACAUUAUGUGUGCAUGUGUCUUUAUAGUAAAAUGAUUUCUAUUCCUU